rnacentral:misc_RNA from 1 species
UAGGAAAGUCAUAAAUAUAUAAAUUAUAUUAUAUAAUUAAUAUACUCCUUUCGGGGUUCCGGUCUCCGUACCGGACCCCGGAACUCCUCCUUUCGGGGUUCCGGUCUCCGUACCGGACCCCGGAACUCCUCCUUUCGGGGUUCCGGUCUCCGUACCGGACCCCGGAACUAAUAAAAUAAAUUAUAUAUUUUAUUUAUAAUAUUAUUUCUUUAUAAGAUAAAUAUUAUCUAAUUAAUAAUUAGAUUGAAUAAUAUUUAUAAAGAAAUAUAUAUAUAUAUAUAAAGUCAUUAUAUAAAUUUAAUUAUAAUUUAAAUAAAUUUUAUAUAAAUUAAUAUAAUAUUAAUAAAGUAAUUAGUAUAAAUAAAUAAUAUGAAAAUAAAACUUAAUAAAUAUAUAAAUAUAGUCCAUAUAUAUAUAUUAAUAAAAAAAAAGUAAUAUAUAUAUAUAUAUUGGAAUAGUUAUAUUAUUAUACAGAAAUAUGCUUAA